rnacentral:rRNA from 1 species
UACGAAGGGGGCUAGCGUUGUUCGGAAUCACUGGGCGUAAAGCGCGGGCAGGCGGUCUGUUAAGUCGUUUGUGAAAAUCCGGGGCUCAACCCCGUGAAAUGCGUACGAUACUGGCAGGCUGGAGACUGGUAGAGGCUAGCGGAAUUCCUGGUGUAGCGGUGGAAUGCGUAGAUAUCAGGAAGAACACCUGUGGCGAAGGUGGCUAGCGGGGCCAGAUCUGACGAUCAUCCGCGAAAGCGUGGGGAGCAAACAGG